CCCGGGGGCGGACGCGGCCUAGUGGCGGACGGGUGAGUAACGCGUGGGCAAUCUGCCCCGUACCGGGGGAUAACACCUGGAAACAGGUGCUAACACCGCAUGACAGGCGGGGGCGCAUGCCCCGGCCUUGAAAACUCCGGUGGUACGGGAUGAGCCCGCGUCCGAUUAGCCAGUUGGCGGGGUAACGGCCCACCAAAGCGACGAUCGGUAGCCGGCCUGAGAGGGCGGACGGCCACACUGGGACUGAGACACGGCCCAGACUCCUACGGGAGGCAGCAG
rnacentral:rRNA from 1 species